UUUAGCUGUGGUUACAAAGCGAACGCUGCUAUUGGUCGCAAGUGCAACGUUAGUCAGCGGGGUGGAGCUUUCCGCACCAUUAUAUAUUGAUCGUUUCUCAGCUUGGGCUGGUACUCAUCCUUUGUAGACGAACGGUCCAAUAUUACUAGUUUUGUUGGCCUACGUUACUGAUUUAUACAUGAUGGAGCUAAAAAUAACUUUAUUUCUUCUAAUGGCUGCAGUAGUUCACGGUCAAACACAAUAUGAAUGGCGUAUCGAGGAAUACGGCGAGUGCAGUGCGACAGAGUGUGGGUACGGAUGGCGGUUUCGCCAGGUAACGUGUGUGAUCGUUGGUACUACAGGAGUGCAGAGUGAAAUACAUUGUGACGGGCAACCGAAGCCUUCCAACUGGCAGCAGUGCUUCGCUGGUGUAUGUGGAUUAGUGUCAAGUGAAGCACCCUCAAACCCUGUUAUAUACGACUGGACAGUUGGAGAAUGGGGAACGGUAAAUUUAAGUCAAUUAUUAUCG